AACGUAGGUUCCGAGCGUUAUCCGGAUUUACUGGGCGUAAAGCGCGUUCAGGCGGUUUGGCAAGUCGGGCAUGAAAUCUCUCGGCUCAACCGGGAGAGGUUGUCCGAUACUGCUGGACUUGAGGGCAGUAGAGGGUGGUGGAAUUCCGGGUGUAGUGGUGAAAUGCGUAGAUAUUGGGAAGAACACCGGUGGCGAAGGCGGCCAUCUGGACCGUUUCUGACGCUGAGGCGCGAAAGCGUGGGGAGCAAACAGG
rnacentral:rRNA from 1 species